rnacentral:rRNA from 1 species
CACGCCGUAAACGUUGGGCACUAGGUGUGGGGUCUUAUCAACGGAUUCCGUGCCGUAGCUAACGCAUUAAGUGCCCCGCCUGGGGAGUACGGCCGCAAGGCUAAAACUCAAAGGAAUUGA